UAAAGUUGUGAUUGACAACAGAUGAAUUCGAAACAAAACUUAUAUUAAACGCUCAAAAACAACUUCUGACACACAUAGCACGAAAUAGAUUGUCAUACAAAAUGUCCCUGCAAGACGGAGGUAACAGAUUGCACAAACACAUUGAAACAUUUUCAGCUGUUCACUAACACUGUUACAUUUUCUGGAAUUUUCAAUGGAAUGUGAGAAUACGAGAGGCGAAUACCCAAUAUUUCAAGAAGAAUAAACGAAAAGCGCAGUUUAUUUUGGAUUUUAAAGAGAGAAAACGAAAGAGGUUAACAAGGAGAAAAAGAAAUCAUUUGGACCAUUGGUAAAAUUCAAAUCUAUUGCGUGCAGCAACCAAAUAAUGGAGUAUGUUUUAAAUUAUUAAAGUUAAAUAGUGUAUAUUUAAUUCAAAUAUUUGUUAUAGAUUGUGCAUUUUA